AAAGAUUAAGCCAUGCAUGUCUAAGUAUAAGCAAUUAUACCGUGAAACUGCGAAUGGCUCAUAAAUCAGUUAUCGUUAUUUGAUAGUACCUUACUACUUGGAUAACCGUGGUAAUUCUAGAGCUAAUACAUGCUAAAAACCCCGACUUCGGGAGGGGUGUAUUUAUUAGAUAAAAAACCAAUGCCCUUCGGGGCUCUUUGGUGAUUCAUGAUAACUUAACGGAUCGCAUGGCCUUGCGCCGGCGACGGUUCAUUCAAAUUUCUGCCCUAUCAACUUUCGAUGGUAAGGUAUUGGCUUACCAUGGUUUCAACGGGUAACGGGGAAUUAGGGUUCGAUUCCGGAGAGGGAGCCUGAGAAACGGCUACCACAUCCAAGGAAGGCAGCAGGCGCGCAAAUUACCCAAUCCCGACACGGGGAGGUAGUGACAAUAAAUACUGAUACAGGGCUCUUUUGGGUCUUGUAAUCGGAAUGAGUACAAUUUAAACCCCUUAACGAGGAACAAUUGGAGGGCAAGUCUGGUGCCAGCAGCCGCGGUAAUUCCAGCUCCAAUAGCGUAUAUUAAAGUUGUUGCAGUUAAAAAGCUCGUAGUUGAACCUUGGGCCUGGCUGGCCGGUCCGCCUCACCGCGUGUACUGGUCCGGCCGGGCCUUUCCUUCUGGAGAGCCGCAUGCCCUUCACUGGGUGUGCCGGGGAACCAGGACUUUUACUUUGAAAAAAUUAGAGUGUUCAAAGCAGGCCUUUGCUCGAAUACGUUAGCAUGGAAUAAUAGAAUAGGACGUGCGAUCCUAUUUUGUUGGUUUCUAGGACCGCCGUAAUGAUUAAUAGGGAUAGUCGGGGGCAUCAGUAUUCAAUUGUCAGAGGUGAAAUUCUUGGAUUUAUUGAAGACUAACUACUGCGAAAGCAUUUGCCAAGGAUGUUUUCAUUAAUCAGUGAACGAAAGUUAGGGGAUCGAAGACGAUCAGAUACCGUCGUAGUCUUAACCGUAAACUAUGCCGACUAGGGAUCGGGCGAUGUUUUCAUCUUGACUCGCUC
rnacentral:rRNA from 1 species